AUACUUACCUGGCAGGGGAGAUACCAUGAUCACGAAGGUGGUUUUCCCAGGGCGAGGCUCAUUCAUUGCACUCCGGAUGUGCUGACCCCUGCGAUUUCCCCAAAUGUGGGAAACUCGACUGCAUAAUUUGUGGUAGUGGGGGACUGCGUUCGCGCUUUCCCCUG
rnacentral:snRNA from 1 species